CAGUAGCCGCGGGAAUACAGAGGGUGCGAGCGUUAAUCGGAUUUACUGGGCGUAAAGCGUGCGUAGGCGGCUUUUUAAGUCGGAUGUGAAAUCCCCGGGCUUAACCUGGGAACUGCAUUUGAAACUGUCAGGCUGGAGUCUUGUAGAGGGGGGUAGAAUUCCAGGUGUAGCGGUGAAAUGCGUAGAGAUCUGGAGGAAUACCGGUGGCGAAGGCGGCCCCCUGGACAAAGACUGACGCUCAGGUGCGAAAGCGUGGGGAGCAAACAGGAUUAGAUACCCCUGUAGUCCCUGUCUCUUAUAC
rnacentral:rRNA from 1 species